ensembl:lncRNA
AUGUCUGCUUUAAUGGGGCCUUCUUGUGUUACUGCUCAGUGUGCCGUUGUGCAUCUUUCACCACCGAUGCGUCGGUGGGUGUGUGGUGUGUUUCAUUACGACCCGCUUGUGUGUGUUCAUGCUGGCGUCAUUUUGUGUCCCCUUGUCUUCCUCCAGAGUAAGUCCGUGUCGUCGACGGACAGCCAGCCCACUGAGGAGCGCCAGGGCCCAUCGGGAGGCUACUCCUCCUCGCAGGGAGGGGCGGAGGCAAAGAGGAGGCGCUGCGACGACAAAGAGCCUCUGCCGCCGCACUCCUACGACAGUGAUGGGGACAAAAGUGAAGACAAUCUCGUAGUCGACGUCUCCAAUGAAGUAAGUUGCUCAUUUGUGUUCAAGUCUUUUUUUUUUGACCCCCUCCUACUUGUUUGCGCUGCCGUCACCGGUAGUUUUGCAUCAACCACGUGCGUCUCGCUCUACAGAGCAUCAACUCGCGGCUCCCGGCUUUCUUUCUUACAGCCUCCGCCGCCGUGGUUCAUCUACCCCCGUUUCCAGCUGUAUUUAGUGAGACAAUCCACUCCUCCUCUUCAACACCUGGCACAUGGAGAGUUUUUAAACUUAGUGGAACAUUUAACAGCUAAAGAGUGUGUUUCCGGGGGGCCGAGAUUUGACUUCCAACGAUUGUUAACGUUGCUUAGCGCCAUUCUGCCGUCAACUUUGAAGUCAGCCGUUGUUUGUACUGAAGCGAUUCGACACCACUGCGCUGCCUGAAUCCAGCGUCGGGAUGUGCUCGGCACUACUUUGUUCCAACCUCCGUCCCCUGCGUAAACCCCGUCUGUCUGCCUGCCGAUAAUUCAAUUUAACACGCACGGAGGUCACGCAUCGCACAGAAAGACAUUUUGUAGUUUCCUCAGGAAGUUCCAUCUCUCACAGCCUCGUCCGUGUGCAAACGCUGUACAUCCUCGUUGCAUCCCCCAUCUCUGAUUUCUCUACAAAGCGGCAAGUUACAAGCAUCCUUUAUCCUGCAGAAGCCUUCCGACACAGUGUGGAAGUCCGUGCAUGAAUAAAAGAUGAAUCCAACGCCGGGAGAGCUUGUGUUACAUUUUCGAGUCCUUGGUGACUUUUUCGUGGAGAUUUACCCUUUUUUUUCCACUUCCACUUCCACAGCCAUGAUGCCUCUUUAUUUACUUUCUAGUUUAGUUUACAGACAAUGCUUCGCACUCUGGCAUUGUGUCCCUCUUAUUGGUUAAUCUUCACGAUUCAAAAGAUGAAUCCAGGUUUCUAUUUUAUCCAGAAUAUCCGCACACACACACGUAUUUUGUUUGUGUGUUUUGCUUAAAUGAUUUUCAAGCUGUGCGUGUGUGUGUGUAUGUGUCAGCUGGUACGCAGCUAGUUCAGCUUCCCGCGGAAGUUUCCUUGUAAAGAGGAAGCGCUCGGAUGUAAGCUCAUUAUCAGCCACCGCUGUUUGUGUUCUCUUCUUGUGAACCGUGUCUGCACACGCAAACACACACACACAAACACACACACGCUUAACAAACGUUUAGCUAUCUCUUCUGUUUCUGUUCUCUUUCUUUCUCUAUUUUCUCUUUUCUUUCCCUCCUCCCUCCUCUCAUUAGAUAACUGCAGCCUGCUUCUUUUAAUAUAUGCAAAGCCGUUUAUGCCCCUGGAAUAUUUUAAGUUCUUUAAAUACUUCACGCAGUGUACCAA